rnacentral:rRNA from 1 species
AAAUCGUAACAAGGUUUCCGUAGGUGAACCUGCGGAAGGAUCAUUACUGAACUGUCGACACGAGUUGUUGCUGGUCCUCAAUGGGGGCAUGUGCACACUCUGUUUACACACCCACUCACACCUGUGCACCCUCUGUAGUUCUGUGGUGUGGAGGACUCUGUCCUCCCACUGUGGUUCUGCUUCUUUACACACACACAGUCAUAAAGUCUUAUGGAAUGUAUGUCGCGUUUAACGCAAUAUAAUACAACUUUCAGCAACGGAUCUCUUGGCUCUCGCAUCGAUGAAGAACGCAGCGAAAUGCGAUAAGUAAUGUGAAUUGCAGAAUUCAGUGAAUCAUCGAAUCUUUGAACGCACCUUGCGCCCUUUGGCUAUUCCGAAGGGCAUGCCUGUUUGAGUAUCAUGAACACCUCAACUCUCAUGGUUUGCCAUGAUGAGCUUGGACUUUGGGGGUCUUGCUGGCCUACGGUCAGCUCCUCUAAAAUGAAUCAGCUUGCCAGUGUUUGGUGUGGCAUCACAGGUGUGAUAACUAUCUACGCUUGUGGCUUUCAUCAGAUAACCUUCAGUGAUGGAGGUUCGCUGGGGCUCAUAAAUGUCUCUCCUCAGUGGGGACAGCU